rnacentral:lncRNA from 1 species
GUUGGCCCACAAACAGAAUCAUUUAAUAGAAUUUUGCAUAGAUGCACAUGUCAAAACAGGUAGAUCAUAAAUUACUAUCAUGCUUAGCAUGACAAACUUAUACAAAAUAAUCCUACCGUCAUCCGCUACACAUUAUCUCCGACCAUCUAAUCACACCAAGUAGGGCUACUAAAACUCAUCCAUCCAAUCGCAGCUAUGCUGCCAAAAAUUUAUUACAGGUAUAUUGCCAAAAAUAUAUAUAGUGCAGUUAAACUGCCAAAAUUAGAUUUCCUCUAUCACAAAAUCUUUUCUCACCCUAAUGCAUAUACAAAAAUCAUACUGAGUGAUCAUGCCAUAUUUACUCAUACAUAACAACAGAACAUGAGCAUAAUAUUUAAGCUUACUUAGAGUCUUACUGAACAGAAACCCACUUUUAUAGAUACGUAUACACAUAUGUUUACAGGUAUCAUGAUUUAACACAUAUUUAGAAUAUAUUACAAAUCAGAGUCUAGAAUUUAAUACUUGGCCCAACGGACCACUCAAAAUGGCUCACACGACCCAUCAGGCCAAAUCGUGUAGCCCACAAGCCUUACCUCAACCAGACCAUGUGGCUUAUACAUCUAUGUUUCUCACACGGCCCUACACACGAUCAUGUAGCGUCAUCAGCCUCAUUUUGAUUUUCACAAAAUUUUAGGGUUUCCAUGUUCGUUUUUAAAAAUUACGGGUUAGGUCAUACAACUUAUUACUUUUAGGAUGUCGGCACUAAAACAGCACUCCAAGUCCUACCUCAACCAGACCAUGUGGCUUAUACAUCUAUGUUUCUCACACGGCCCGACACAUGACCAUGUAGCGUCAUCAGCCUCAUUUUGAUUUUCAUAGAAUUUCAAGGUUUCCAUGUUCGUUUUUAAAAAUUACGGGUCAGGUCGUACACCUUAUUACUUUUGGGAUGUCGGCACUAAAGCAGCACUCCAAGUCCCUGUACACGACAUCCACAACUAACUCGAUUAGCAAACUUAACAACGAAAUCGAAACUUGAAUUUGGUUUUCAACACUUGAUUAAACCAGUCCUUUAAACUGGUAUUUGGUCACUUACCCUGGAAAGAUAGCGGUUUAACAGCAACUAAACUGCUGGUGGGUUAUGUAUCUCGCAAUCUUCACUUAACAUAACCAAAACUCUCCCAAGAUUAAAAAAACAACUUCCUAUAAAACAAACAAAUUAUGAUUGCAAAAUAAAAUAAAAUAAAUAUAUAAUACUAAGUCGAAGUUUCGAAGCACAUAUGACCAACAAAGAAAACAAAGAAUUGACGACACUGUGACGAAUCAAGGUCUGGAUGGCAUAAAAGAAAAAUAAGCAAGAGAUUGCCCACAAAAUUAUGGAAAAUAAAACAAAAUGAAAAGACAAAAGAAACAAAGAUGAAAGGCGGCAGAGGAAGAGUUUCCAUUAGCAAAAUAAGGGGAAAACGAAAAAUGGGGAGAGAGGGAUAACAACUAGAGAGGAAAUUUUGGGAUAACUUUUAAUAAUUUCCAAAAAAAAAUCUGAUAAAAAUCUUAUCUAAA